UCCCGUGUGGCUCAGUUGGUAGAGCAUGGUGUUUGCAACGCCAGGGUUGUGAGUUUGAUUCCCACGGGGG
rnacentral:tRNA from 1 species